UUUCCGUAGGUGAACCUGCGGAAGGAUCAUUAUCGUAUAACCCAGUUACAAGGGCUGUCGCUGACCCCAAACCUCGUGCACGCCCGAGUGCCCUCACACAUCUAUCUCACCCCUAUGUUCACCACCGCAUAGGUCCCCCGUUGGCUUGUUCGUCGUGUGGCUUACGGUUUCACACACACUUUGUAUGAAGUGUAGAAUAUAUUUUUUGUUUUUGUGAUCACGCAAUCAAUACAACUUUCAACAACGGAUCUCUUGGCUCUC
rnacentral:misc_RNA from 1 species